rnacentral:rRNA from 1 species
UUGGGUGGGCACUCUAAGGAAACUGCCGGUGGUAAGCCGGAGGAAGGUGGGGAUGACGUCAAGUCCUCAUGGCCCUUACGGGUAGGGCUACACACGUGCUACAAUGGCAGUGACAAUGGGAUAAUCCCAAAAAGC